rnacentral:rRNA from 1 species
CCUACGGGGGGCAGCAGUGGGGAAUAUUGCACAAUGGGGGAAACCCUGAUGCAGCGACGCCGCGUGAGUGAAGAAGGAAUUCGGUAUGUAAAGCUCUAGCAGCAGGGAAGAAAAUGACGGUACCUGAGUAAGAAGCCGCGGCGCCCUACGUCCCAGCAGCCGCGGUAAUACGUAGGGGGCAAGCGUUAUCCGGAUUUACUGGGUGUACAGGGAGCGUAGACGGCAGUGCAAGUCUGGAUUGAAAGCCGGGGGCUCAACCCCCGGACUGCUCGGGAAACUGUACGGCUGGAGUGCAGGAGAGGUAAGUGGAAUUCCUAGUGUAGCGGUGAAAUGCGUAGAUAUUCGGAGGAACAUCAGUGGCGAAGGCGGCUUACUGGACUGUAACUGACGUUGAGGCUCGAAAGCGUGGGGAGCAAACAGGAUUAGAUACCCCGGUAGUC